rnacentral:rRNA from 1 species
UACAGAGGGUGCGAGCGUUGUUCGGAAUCAUUGGGCGUAAAGCGCUUGUAGGCGGCCUGUCAAGUCGCGUGUGAAAUCCCCUGGCUUAACCAGGGAAGUGCGCGCGAAACUGGCGGGCUUGAGUGCCGGAGAGGGUCGCGGAAUUCCCGGUGUAGAGGUGAAAUUCGUAGAUAUCGGGAGGAACACCAGUGGCGAAGGCGGCGACCUGGACGGACACUGACGCUGAGGUGCGAAAGCGUGGGGAGCAAACAGG